GACGAACGCUGGCGGCGCGCCUAACACAUGCAAGUCGAACGGAGCUGUGAGAAUCUUGCUUUUCUUAGCUGAGUAUCUUAUGGGUGAGUAACGCGUGAGUAACUUGCGCGUGAGUGGGGGGCAACAUAUGGAGGCGACUGCUAAGACCACAUCUGCUCACGCUCCGGCAGCGCAUUGAAGGGAAAGGAUUUAUUCGCUUCAGGAUGGACGCGCGUCCAAUUAGCGAGUUGGUGAGGUAACGGCCCACCAAGGCGACGAUUGGUAGCCGGACUGAGAGGUUGACCGGCCACAUUGGGACUGAGACACGGCCCAGACUCCUACGGGAGGCAGCAGUGGGGGAUAUUGCACAAUGGGGGAAACCCUGAUGCAGCGACGCCGCGUGGAGGAAGAAGGUUUUCGGAUUGUAAACUCCUGUCGUCAGGGACGAUAAUGACGGUACCUAACAAGAAAGCACCGGCUAACUACGUG
rnacentral:rRNA from 1 species